rnacentral:lncRNA from 1 species
ACGCUAUCUAUCUACAGUGCCCGGAAGGAAUACGUGUGUAUACAUGUGUAACGCUGGAUGUACGAAGAAAAUUUUGUUGGAAUAAUUCGAUCUCUCUCUGGAUUGUCUUGUGGUGUUCGAUCAUCAGUUGGUGCACUUCCAGCUCGAGGUGGGCACGCAGCUGAGGUAGCGGCACCAGGAGCAGCUGUCGUUGGCGUUGGCGCCGCGGAAGAGCAUCGCCAUGCCCACCGCGAAUCUGCAAAAGCCAACACGCACAAACAACACGGAAAGAAUUAGUCCUGCCAUUUUGCCAACUUCAGUGAAUCGCCGACACAAACUAAACUAUAGCUUAGUAGUGGUUGGGAACUCGAGAGUUAAAAUACAGAGAAAAAAAAGGUUAUAAUCUUGUGUACAGCGAGGUAUGUCAACACGGUGCACGUUGGGUAGCAGGUUGGAGGAGAGAAAGGAGAAUCAAAACACGUUACUACCCCUGUCCCUGUGUUGGAGGAAGCAAACGGCCAGCUACGCAGACAUAUGAUAAUCUUAUGAAUUAUUAAGAUAGCGAUCGAGAGACAGAUAGGGGGUGUCCCUUUCUCUGCAUCAUGCAUGGUGCGACUCGCUGGCUGCCAUUUGAUCAUCACAUCACUUCACAUGAUGGAACUCUAGCAUCCGGGGGCAAAGCAAGAACAGCCAGCGUUGCCCACCGUGUCCCAAACAUAAUGCCCAAAUCUUUCAACGCAUGUGGAGCGCCCAACAAUCAGCACACUACCUAACCCAUCUAAAUGGCCAGUGCUCUCCUCGCAAAGUAACCCAUCUAAAUGGUCAGUGCUCUCCUUGUAAAGUACUCUAGCUAACACUCAACCAUCAGUGACUCGAUCAGUAGUGCAGUACGUGUGUCCUUGCUGAGAUUUCAGUUCAACGGAAAAAGCACUUGUCUGUGAUAAUUGCGAUGUGGAUAGACGCUUUGCUUACCCGAUGACGAGGAGGACGAGGGCGACGGCCAUGAGGAUCCACUGGUAGAGGAGGUACUUCUUGGAUGUGCAGGCGCUGCCGGCGGGCAUGCUGUAGCGCUCCAUCCAGGCGAAGUGCGGGCGCAUCAGCACCACGAACCCCAGGAGGAACCCCGUGAGGA